ensembl:lncRNA novel transcript
AGGCUUCUGGGGCAUUCUAUCCUGUGGACACAACCUGUGGAAGGCUAGGCAGGGAGUCAGGAAAGGCUGGAGUCACCAUGGACUGCAACCUGGAACAAGGAGAGACAAAGGGAAGGAGGAGUCUGGAGCCAUAUUGAAGAUGAAAUUGAGAUAUGGACUAGGUGGUGGAUCGUUUUUAUAAGAGGACAUAAAAGAGGAUGCUAAAGCUAAUUGCCACAAUCAGAACUCAAAGACCUAGCAAAUGCAAGGUGGUAUUUAUUCUAAACUCAGCAAAGUAGUAGAAAAAUAGUUUUGAGAACAGUUUUAAGGAGACUAGGGUAACAGUGAGAAAAUAGUUCAUGGCUAGUCUGGACUUAGGACUUUAGGGUCGGCCUGGUGAAUUGAAGGGAAGCAGCUGAUACACUCUGGUUGCCUUGUACCCUGGCUUUUGGUGCUUUCCCAUGUGCUGUAGUCAUCAGUAAUCUGGAGGAAAUGCUAUAGAGGCAAAGACACCAUUAGAUGGGUGCUCAACUAGCAAACAGGAUGUGACCACAGAGUAGUUACCCCAAGACCAGGUCAGCAUGACCCAAAAGGCAGAAGAGGACAAGGUUUAUGAGUGUUGGGCUGAGCUCACGCCUGCUUGAACAUCUCAAGAACAAUGUUAAUGAUGGAAGAGAGAGAUAGGAGAGGAAACUCAUUAAACUUGCCAAAUAUGAGAUGUAGCUGGGUUGGCUCUAUGUAAGCAUGGCAGAAAAGCAUUUAGAAGUCAUAAUACAUUUAAAAUAAGAGCUACCAGCAUAGCAGUGACAUGAAGAAGGCAUGUGUUUUGUUAAAAAGUUUUAAAUACUCCUAUAAAAGAUAGUAAGGUACAAGUUGUUUGCUUGAUCAGCAAUGCUAAUUGCCUUUGAAGUGCAUGCCUGGGGAUUCCAUGGAGAGAGGACCCUGUUUCUCCACCCCAACCCAAAUUCACUGAGUUUAUGUCAGAAUGUUCAGAAGCCCCUUUACAAAUUCCUCUGAUUGCCUUGUUAGACACUGGCCACCUCCCUGAACCUGGGCCAAGAUGAGGGUCUACACCUUGGCUUAGUUCUACUAUGAAAGACUUUCCUGCAGUAAAAGUUACCUGUCUGAAACAUUCAGAAGAGUGAAAAUGCCACAUCUCCAAUUUCCAGCAAUAUAUUUGUCUGCCAUGAUUUGGCCUGGAAGCUUAAGCAGGAAGACCACUUGGAGCCAGACUUCAGAGUGAUCUGUCUCUAAGGAAUAACUUUCAUAUUGCAGCGUUCGGUUUUGCAAUUCUUCCUAAGCUACUCUAAAUUCGCAGCAUAAAUCUGCAGAAAGACUUCACCCUCCACAUCAAACCCUUAUAAGGAUCCAUUUCUGCUCUCAUUUUAGAAUAUCUUUUCUAAUAGCUAAAGGCAGACAGAGGCAAACCAAGAAAUCCAGACUUUGCAUCAACGGGUUAAAUCAUAUGUCAAAGGUGCAACCAUAACGUAUUACAAGCUUCUCAUCACAUAAUACAUCACUCAAGAAAAAAUAUUUGGGCAGCUUUUCUAAUUCAUCUUCCUGGUGUUAAAGGAGCACAUCUCCAGUGUUCGUGUCUUCUGUUUCAAUUAAAGCAAUCAUGCCUACUCUUUUAGGAAACUACUAAGG